rnacentral:rRNA from 1 species
UACGUAGGGUGCAAGCGUUGUCCGGAAUUAUUGGGCGUAAAGAGCUCGUAGGCGGUCUGUCACGUCGACUGUGAAAUCCCGAGGCUCAACCUCGGGCCUGCAGUCGAUACGGGCAGACUAGAGUUCGGUAGGGGAGACUGGAAUUCCUGGUGUAGCGGUGAAAUGCGCAGAUAUCAGGAGGAACACCGGUGGCGAAGGCGGUUCUCUGGGCAUUACCUGACGCUGAGGAGCGAAAGUGUGGGGAGCGAACAGG